AGUGAACGCUGGCGGUAGGCCUAACACAUGCAAGUCGAACGGCAGCACAGUAAGAGCUUGCUCUUACGGGUGGCGAGUGGCGGACGGGUGAGGAAUACAUCGGAAUCUACCUUUUCGUGGGGGAUAACGUAGGGAAACUUACGCUAAUACCGCAUACGACCUACGGGUGAAAGCAGGGGAUCUUCGGACCUUGCGCGAUUGAAUGAGCCGAUGUCGGAUUAGCUAGUUGGCGGGGUAAAGGCCCACCAAGGCGACGAUCCGUAGCUGGUCUGAGAGGAUGAUCAGCCACACUGGAACUGAGACACGGUCCAGACUACUACGGGAGGCAGCAGUGGGGAAUAUUGGACAAUGGGCGCAAGCCUGAUCCAGCCAUACCGCGUGGGUGAAGAAGGCCUUCGGGUUGUAAAGCCCUUUUGUUGGGAAAGAAAAGCAGCAGGUUAAUACCCCGCUGUUCUGACGGUACCCAAAGAAUAAGCACCGGCUAACUUCGUG
rnacentral:rRNA from 1 species